rnacentral:rRNA from 1 species
UACGGGGGGAGCAAGCGUUGUUCGGAUUUACUGGGCGUAAAGGGCGCGUAGGCGGCCAGCACAAGUCAGUUGUGAAAUCUCCGAGCUUAACUCGGAAAGGUCAACUGAUACUGUGCGGCUAGAGUGCGGAAGGGGCAACUGGAAUUCCUGGUGUAGCGGUGAAAUGCGUAGAUAUCAGGAAGAACACCCGUGGCGAAGGCGGCUCUCUGGAACGCAACUGACGCUGAGACGCGAAAGCGUGGGGAGCAAACAGG